rnacentral:lncRNA from 1 species
GCGCCAUUUUUUUCGAAACCUCUGCGCCAUGAGAGCCAAGUGGAGGAAGAAGCGAACGCUCAGGCUGAAGCGCCAAAGAAGAAAGAUGAGGCAGAAGUCCAAGUAAACCGCUAGCUUGUUGCACCGUGGAGGCCACAGGAGCAGAAACAUGGAACACCAGACGCUGGGGAUGCUGGUACAAGUUGUGGGACUACAUGCUACUGCCUAGAGCUUGUCUCAAUGGAUCUAGAACUUCAUCGCCCUCUGAUCGCCGAUCACCUCUGAAACCUCACCCG